rnacentral:rRNA from 1 species
UCAGUGAAAUUGAACUCGCUGUGAAGAUGCAGUGUACCCGCGGCAAGACGGAAAGACCCCGUGAACCUUUACUAUAGCUUGACACUGAACAUUGAGCCUUGAUGUGUAGGAUAGGUGGGAGGCUUUGAAGUGUGGACGCCAGUCUGCAUGGAGCCGACCUUGAAAUACCACCCUUUAAUGUUUGAUGUUCUAACGUGGACCCGUGAUCCGGGUUGCGGACAGUGUCUGGUGGGUAGUUUGACUGGGGCGGUCUCCUCCUAAAGAGUAACGGAGGAGCACGAAGGUUGGCUAAUCCUGGUCGGACAUCAGGAGGUUAGUGCAAUGGCAUAAGCCAGCUUGACUGCGAGCGUGACGGCGCGAGCAGGUGCGAAAGCAGGUCAUAGUGAUCCGGUGGUUCUGAAUGGAAGGGCCAUCGCUCAACGGAUAAAAGGUACUCCGGGGAUAACAGGCUGAUACCGCCCAAGAGUUCAUAUCGACGGCGGUGUUUGGCACCUCGAUGUCGGCUCAUCACAUCCUGGGGCUGAAGUAGGUCCCAAGGGUAUGGCUGUUCGCCAUUUAAAGUGGUACGCGAGCUGGGUUUAGAACGUCGUGAGACAGUUCGGUCCCUAUCUGCCGUGGGCGCUGGAGAACUGAGGGGGGCUGCUCCUAGUACGAGAGGACCGGAGUGGACGCAUCACUGGUGUUCGGGUUGUCAUGCCAAUGGCACUGCCCGGUAGCUAAAUGCGGAAGAGAUAAGUGCUGAAAGCAUCUAAGCACGAAACUUGCCCCGAGAUGAGUUCUCCCUGAGACUUAGAGUCUCCUGAAGGAACGUUGAAGACGACGACGUUGAUAGGCCGGGUGUGUAAGCGCAGCGAUGCGUUGAGCUAACCGGUACUAAUGAACCGUGAGGCUUAACCUUACA